UAGAAGUAUAAAAUUGAGAGGUUUAAUAAUUAUGCACUAACAUUUAUCAAAAAUAAAUAUAUGUUGAUGUAUAGUGAUUAAAUUCAAAAUGUGUAACACAAAAAAAUAAUUGAGUGCAUGAAUGUGGAAAUAUAUAGAAAGUUGUCUCCUCUUAUUGCUUCAAUUAUUUCUGUUUGACAACAACAUGCAAUGGUCAAUUUCUUCCCAAGAUGCAAGCACGAGGAAUCUUCCAUUUGACUACCUUGCUAAACACGUUAGAGACUUUUCAUGAAAAUAAUUGUCCAAGUUAUAAACUUCCACUAUAAAUUUAGUACUCUACCAUAGUUAAUUAAAUGACCAAAAAAACUUAAAUUCUAUAUCCACUUUGAUAAUUGAAAUUAAUUUUUCCAUGAAUAUCAUCAAACUAGGAGUACUUGUUUGCUCAAGUUUACCCUUAUACUUGAGUUGCUUUGUGGAGUCCAUAGCUCAACAUUUUGAUACUUCUCAAUCACACUUCACUUCAACAAGCAAGGUAAAUAUGAUGAACAAGGAGAAAGAAGAUGCAUCAACCAUUGCUAAUGUUGCAGCCCAAAAUCACUUUCGACAAAUUCAACACUUCUGCUAAGAGAGUCUUAUUUGAUUAAACUUUUUGGGGUAAUAUGUAAUAUUUAGUAAUCAUAUCCUAAUUUGUACUAUAGCCUUUGGAAAUUUGUUUUGUUGGAAUACACAAAAUGGAAACUCAUAACUGUCCUAAUUUCCUUAUCUUUUUUUAUAUUUAUUUGUUGUAACCAACCAUAUGUGCUUUCUGCAAUUUCCUCAGUACAAUAUUGGCACCACUCUACAUCCUUUGCCUUCUCAUACUCUAUAUAUACCCCCCAUCUUAUCAUAUUUUUGCAAAGGGAGAGUUUUUAAUGAAAAUAUAUACAAAAAAAAAAAAAAAAAAAAAACAUUUUCUCAUCUUCAAGAGUUAAAAAAAGGGAGUUUUUUCAUUAAUACUGUGAAAAACAAAAUAAAACACUAAAUCAUUCCUUUGUUUACAUUUAAUUAUUUCUUCUUCUUUUAUAACUUUGGUGAUCCACAUUGUGUGAGCCUUCGUAUCGCUCUAACGCUUUAUUUUUCAUAUCUACUUGUUUUUUUUUACAAAGUUUUGUUUUUUCGCUUGGUUCCCCGUUUUAUUUUUGCUAGCUUUCGUCACUGUAAUUGAUGUUUAAUUAAUUGAUGUUACUUUUCAAACUCCUAAUUUGCUAUUUGGUAAAGGAAAAUGGAAAAUCUACAUUGUCAGGGUGAUUUUGUAAAGUAAAUUUCUUACAUUUAAUCUUUGCUUCGCAAUUUGAAUAUUUCAUGAGUUGAUAUUUGUUAUGUCUUUGUUGGAUAAUGUAAAGAGAAAUUAUAUUUGUAAAAUUAUUUUGUGAUAACUUUUGAAACAACUUUAUUUUUCUCUUUUUUUAUUGACCAAAAUAAUAGAAAAAAAAAAAGGAAUAGAGAUAAUAAAAACCUAAUAUGAGUAUAAAAAGAAUUGUUCAAAAGUCGUCGGUUAUACAAAUAUCAUUUCUCUAAUAUAAAAUACUUCCCAGCUUAGUGAUGGCUUUUUUCUUAAUUACACUAAUUUUUGUAAAAAAAAUGAUGAUUGAAAAAAAAUCAAUCAGUCAAGAACAUUGAGAAAAUAAAGUUGUAUCUCAAAUCUCUUUUAUGAUCAUAGAAAAUAUGUUUCACAGUCAUGAGAUACUGAAUUUGUAUGACACAGCUAUCCAUGUUGCUUAUGUAAAUACGGAUUCAUACUUAUUUGGUCUCGACAGACUGAAAAUCAUCUUGCUUUGAUAAACCAUAGGACUAUCCUCUCAUUUUUUUAAUUUUAGGAUUCCAAGAUAUAUGUCAAUUUUUUUACUUUUGUUUGAUUUUUAUAAUAUUAGUUGAUUGGUCGGUUACUGCUUUCGAGUAUUUAAUUUUAUUUUGGAUUUUUAAUCAAUGUCAAUGAUAUGUGUUUAUUCUUCGCGCACAAGAGUUCCUAGUUGAACUCUUCUAUUGUUAGUCCAACUUACUUUUCUCAUAUUGAGAGAUCUUUUUUUUUUUGUUAUUCUAUGACAUAGGUCUUCAAUAUAUUUUAGGCUUAAUUGGAUAGAUUUGGUCCUUAUUUAAUUUCUAAGUUUUAUUUUCGUCCUCUAAUUAAUAAAAGUUUAAUUUUGAUCCCUUAAUUUCAUUUUCGUUUGCUAGCUUGGUUUCAUUUUGUUAAUUUUAACUUAAAAUAGAGAAAUCAAAAUUGUAGAAAAAAGAGAUUUUAAUUAUAGAAAUGUAAACUUGAAAAGUUCAAUAAAAAAAAUUAUAAAAGAAAUUUAGGGUGAGUUUAAGAUUGAAACAAUUAUACGUUAAUAAUAUAAAAUUUUAAAUUAGACAUCUAAUUAGAUUUCACUAAAGUAUCAUGUCAUAAAAUUAUACACAUAGAGAAAUGAUAUUUAUACAAUCAUUUUCUAUCAAUUUUUAAGACAACUUUCUCUCAUACUCACAUUGAGUUUAUACUUUCUUUCUUUUUUUUCUAUUACUUUUGUCCAAAAAAAGAUAGAAGAAAUGGUUGUUACAAAAGUUGUCCAAAAAAUAAAUGUAAAAAUAUCAUUCCUCUGAGAAUUUUGUGUAUAAUAUUUUUACAGCUUUUAUUUAUGUUGAUGCACAAUGAUUAAAAUUCAAAAUUGAGUGCAUAGUAGUGAAAACAGAAUGUCUUAAUAUUAGCUUAAUUAUUUACCGUUGACAUCACCUCACCACAAUGGUCAAUUACUUAACAUGAUAUAUGCAAGCACGGGAAUUCUUCCAUUUUGCUUCCUUGCUUAGCACGUUAGAGACUUUUUCAUGGAAACAAAUGUCCAAAUUACAAACUACCCCUAUAAAUUUAGUACUCUGUCAUGGUUAAUGAUAUCACAAAAAAUCUUAAUUUCAUCCAUGAAUAUGUUCAAACUAGGAGUACUUGUUUCCUCAUGCUUGCCUUUGUUGAGUUGCUUUGUGGGGUCCAUAGUUCAACUUUUUUAUACUUCUCAAUCACAUUUCACUUCAGCAACCAAGGUAAAUAUGUUGCAUAUGAAGAAAGAAGAUGCAUCAACCAUUGCUAAUGUUGCAGCCCAAAAGCACUUUCGACAAAUUCAACACAUAUGCUAAGAGAGUCUUAUUUGAUUAACGUUUUUGGGGUAAUAUGUAAUAUUUAGGAAUCAUAUCU
rnacentral:lncRNA from 1 species